GACGAACGCUGGCGGCGUGCCUAAUACAUGCAAGUUGAGCGCUGAAGGUUGGUACUUGUACCAACUGGAUGAGCAGCGAACGGGUGAGUAACGCGUGGGGAAUCUGCCUUUGAGCGGGGGACAACAUUUGGAAACGAAUGCUAAUACCGCAUAAAAACUUUAAACACAAGUUUUAAGUUUGAAAGAUGCAAUUGCAUCACUCAAAGAUGAUCCCGCGUUGUAUUAGCUAGUUGGUGAGGUAAAGGCUCACCAAGGCGAUGAUACAUAGCCGACCUGAGAGGGUGAUCGGCCACAUUGGGACUGAGACACGGCCCAAACUCCUACGGGAGGCAGCAGUAGGGAAUCUUCGGCAAUGGACGAAAGUCUGACCGAGCAACGCCGCGUGAGUGAAGAAGGUUUUCGGAUCGUAAAACUCUGUUGGUAGAGAAGAACGUUGGCGAGAGUGGAAAGCUCAUCAAGUGACGGUAACUACCCAGAAAGGGACGGCUAACUACGUG
rnacentral:rRNA from 1 species